rnacentral:lncRNA from 1 species
UAUUUAUUUAGCUUACAGUUUGGGAGGCUACAAGUCCAAACUCCAUGGUACCAGGUCCUGAAACUCCAUCAUGCCAUAGUGGGUGGCACAUAAGAAAGAUCACAGAACAGUGACAGGGAGCCAGGGAGUGAUGCAGAGGUCAGUGGUCAGGCCUGCUCUUUUUAUGACAACUGGAGAACUCGCCACAGUGUUCACCCCUUAGGGGAUAGUCUCACACACACACACACACACACACACACACAUACACACACAGGAUCUGAUUUCUUCUCAUUAUGCCUCCCUCUUCUGAAAGGUUCUAUGCUGACUCCCAACACUGCCACACUAAAGCCCAAGCUUCCAACACACAAACUCUUAAAGAACAAACUACUCCAGACCAUAGCACCUGAUAGGACUGGAGCCAUGCAGUAGUAAUUACUCUCCUUGGCUGGCUUGUUUGACUGAGUGUAAUAUCCUUUAGGCUCAUCCACAUAGCUGGUAUUAAGGGAUUUGACCUUUUGAACACUGGAUAAAUGUUCAAGUCUGUAUGCGCACCAUGUCUUCUGCACUCAGGCACUGAUGGCCAGUCCAAUUGUUUGUCACCAUAUGGUUCUUGUGACCACUACUGCGGUGAACAUCGGAAUGGGUGCAGAAAUGUCUGGAAACCAUGAUUUCGGGUCAUCUAAAUAAACCCAGGGAUGUGGUUCUGUUUAGAAUCUGCUGAGCCUGGGUACAGUUCUCUACAGCCUUAUUUUACAUUCCACAAACAUCAUACAGGGGUUCCUGGUUUGCUGCAGCCUCACCAGUCCCUGUUUUGUGAUCAUAGGUACUAAUGAAAUAGCUCACUGUUUGGAUUAACAUUUUCCUAGUGGCUGAUAUUGAAUAUCUCCUCCUAUACCUGCCAGCCAUCUGCCAUGAGUUCUUGGGUGAAAUGUCUAUUCAAACCCUUUACCUACUUUCUGGCUCUGUUCCUAGGUUUUCUGCCAUUGAGUCCUAGAAAUGUCAUAGACCAGUGGUUCUCAACCUGUAGGUUUCAGGCCUCUUUGGUGACUGAAUGACCCUUUCACAGGAAUUGCCUAAGACCACCAGAUAACACAGAUAUUUACGUUACAAUUCAUAACAGUAGCAAAAAAAAAUACAGUUAUGAAGUAGCAAUGAAAAUAGUUUUAUGGUUGGGGGUCAGUAGAGCAUGAUCUGUAUUAAAGGGUCGCAGCAUCAGGAAGGUUGAGAACUGCUGCCUUAGAUGAUUUGGGCAUUGCCACUUUACUUGAUGUCUGGUCUAUAAUAUUCCCUCCCAUUGCAUGAGCUGUCGCUCACUUGGUGGAUCAUCUCCUUUCCUGUGCAGAAGGGUUUGGGGUUGACGUAAGUCUACUUGGCUGGUUUUGCUUCACAGCCUAUAUUUGUAGUUACACCUCAAACCCAAGGCUGGGUCCAUGUCAAACAUCUGGUCACCGUGUUUUCCAAUAGUUUUAUGGUUUCAGAGUCUUGCCGGUGUUUAAUCUAUGUUAUUACUCAUAUAGAGUGAGGUAGGGUCCAGUUUCAUUCUUCUGUAUGUGGGAUUCCCCAACACCGCUUACUGAGAGACUGUCUUUCCCCUUUGUUGAGGCUCAGUCAGUAUGUAACUUUAUUCCCAUUCAUGCAUCUAGAAGUCUGUUUUUAUGCCAGGAUCAUGCUGUUUGGUUACUGUAGCUUUGUAAUAUAUUCUGAAGUCAGGGUCCAUGGCACCUUUAAUUUUGUUCUCUGGCCAAUAUUGCUUUAGUCAUUUUGGGGCUUUUUUGUGGUUCCAUUUGAAUUUUAGAAUUUUUAAACUAUUUCUGUAAAAUUGAGAGGCUGUGAGUCUUAUAUAGAUUGUGUUGAAUCUUUGCAGCGUUGUGGUUGCUUGGUGUAGACAUUUGCGAGAUACUAAACCUUCCGAUCCAAGAUCACAGUCAAGGAUACUCGCUAUAUAUUCAUAUUAAGCAUAGUUCUAGAAGUCACCAGAAGAAUGAGAUAGGAAACAUGAAUAAAAGGCACCCUCAUCCAAAAGGAAGACGGGAAACUGUCCCUAUUUACAGGCAACAUGAUCUUAUAUAUAUAAAACAUUUAGUUGGGCAUGGUGGCUCUCUCUGGUGAUCUUAACUCUGGACAAGCUAAGACAGUAGAAUCAUGAGUUCCAGGACAGCUCAGACGAUAGAGCAAGACUGAAUCAAAAAAUUCUGUAGAUAUCCUUCAAAAAACUGUCUCAAGCCAGGCAUGGUGGCACACACCAUUAGUCCCAGUACUCAAAGGCAAGUGGAUCUCUGUAAGUUUGAGGCCAGCCUGAUCUACAUAACAAAUUCCAGACCACCCAAGGCUGCAUGGCGAGACUUCAUCUCU